UGCUGGUUUGAGUUUGCUGCUGGUGGCCACCAUGAACUGCAGUCCAGCCAUGCCUGCCUGUCUUGGAGACAACUGAGUGUGGACUGAAACCUCCAAAAACACCCUUCAUCUCUGUCCCCUCUCCAGGCGAGGCCCAGAGAACAAUCCACGGAACGGAUCAAGUGGUGCCCAAAUGUGGGGCAGACCUGGCAUGAGGGAUAACGAUGUGGGACCAUUCACGGGGGUAAAGUGCCGGCUGGCGUGACUGUUUUGGGACUUCGUUCCUGUGAUCUCUGCAGAAGGCCACCCUACAUCUCACCUGAAUCACGGUCUUCGAAUUUCAAUUGACUUCUGAGGACAUGAAAGUGAUAGAUGGCCUGAACAGAAACUUGAGAUAUCUUCCUGCUGAGUUGAUCUCCAUGGCCUUCCCGCAGGCCAGGACAAGAAGAUCCCCAAUGUGGGACCUGAGAAUGGGGGACUUCGUGAGGGAAGCUAUUUGUGGGCCCAAAGUAGAAAAAAGAAAAGGAAAUAGAGGACCUGGCAACAUGGGAGCCUGCCAUGCUGCUAAACCUUGAUGAUGAAAUUGAAAAUCUGGAUCCUACCACUGGGAAUUUUUAUGGCCCUACUGCAGACCUCACAUAGCGCCUUUGACCUCCAAAAAGCAAAGAACAAAUAUUAAAGCAAUUGUAUGAUAACCCCUGUGACUGCAGGGGAUGUUUUACCCAUGAUAAAUAUAACAAAGGCCUUGCUUUGCAUGUCAUGGGAGAUACAGCCAAUCUUAUGGUACACAAAUAGGCAAUACCAAAGUAUACACAUAUUCUCAACAGACAGAUUGUGGAGACAAGAUAGCAUACCUUACUGCCCACCCAACUGUCACAGGCAGAAUGUGCCAAAGUUGGAGGUAUGGAAGAGUAUGGAGGAGUUGUGAAGUUCACAAACCCAACAUCAAUGUCAGAGGUAUCAUUAUGAAAACUGGGUAUCGUGUGAUACCUAGUGUCAAUGGCCACCUGGGGCCAUGCCCUGAAAUAUGUCCUUACAAAAUGGAGAUGCAUUCUUCCUGCUAUGACUCAGUGCAGGAGUGCAUGGGAAAAGACAAUAAGAUUUAUUUCACUGCUGUGUUUCAGAGACCUAAUGCUGGAAGUUUUGAGGGCAAGGGGCCCGGCAUCCCACAGGUCCUUGGAAAUUCAAAAUGUGCCCAGGCCUCAUGCAGCAGUGCAAUUAGUAGCCCGGUGUACUGGAGCAAGUUAGCCCCAGUACAUUUUUCAGAUGGUGGUGGACCCAAGACAAGGUUAGAAAACUUCAAGUACAAAAAUCCAUAGAGCAAAUUAUAGAACAAAAGUUCCCCAAGAUAAAUUAUCAUUCACUGGCUCUCCCCAAGUUGAGAUGUGUAGAGCUAGAUACCCAGACCUUAGAUAUCAUAGAAGCCACUUAUAUAGCCCUUAAAGUUUCUAACCCUGAUUUGGCUAAAGACUGUUGGCUGUGCAGACAAUGGGUGUGACCCUAGGCACACCCAUUUCCCUUGCUAUUACCUCAGAUUCUGUCCCACAUAACUUUGUAAAUCUUAACUGUAGUGCCAGCCUCCCCUUCACAAUGCAGCCUGUAGGUUUCAGAGAUUCUCCCUGCUUUCAAGGAAGUUUUCAUGACGAUACCUCUGACAUUGAUGUUGGGUUUGUGAACUUCACUAACUGCUGUUCUAUAAUUGACUAGACUACCCCUCUUUGCAUGACUAGGGGACAUGUAUUUGUCUGUGGAGGAAACAUGGCUUUCACAUUUCUGCCUGCCAAUUGGACAGGGUUUUGUGUCAUGGCUACCCUACUACCUGACAUAGAUGUUAUAUCUGGAGUUGAGCCUGUUCCCAUUCCCAGUCUUGAUUACAUUGCAGGCCUUACCAAGAGAGCAGUGCAGUUUAUUCCCAUGCUGAUAGGACUAGGGAUUUCAGGAGCCCUAAAAACAGGUACUACAGGACUAGGAGUCACAGUGCAUUAAACAACAAACUUUUCAAUCAGCUUAUUGAUGAUGUUCAGGCAUUGUCUAGUACUAUUCAGGACAUUCAAGAUCAAGUAGAUUCAUUAGCUGAGGUAGCUCUUCAAAACAAAAGAGCGUUAGACCUCCUAACAGCAGAGCAGGGAGGGAUCUGUUUGGCAUUGCAGGAAUGCUGCUGCUUCUAUGCAAACAAGUCUGGCAUUGUUCAAGACAAAAUUAAGAAACUGCAAGAAGUUCUGGUAAAAAGGAAAAGAAAGCUAUUUGAAAACCCUCUCUGGAGUGCCUGGAAUGGAAUCCUGCCUUAUCUCCUUCCCUUGCUCAGACCAUUGCUAGCACUGUUAAUUUUACUUUCAUUAGACCCUUUUCUUUUUAAUAAAUUGAUGGCUUUUGUCAAACAACA